UGAAGCAACAAAUGCCCUGCUUCCAGGAAAAGCCUCUAAGCAUCAGGUAACAUCAAAUCGUACCCCAAACCGACACAGGUGGUCAGGUAGAGAAUACCAAGGCGCUUGAGAGAACUCGGGUGAAGGAACUAGGCAAAAUGGUGCCGUAACUUCGGGAGAAGGCACGCUGACACGUAGGUGAAGUGAUUUACUCAUGGAGCUGAAGUCAGUCGAAGAUACCAGCUGGCUGCAACUGUUUAUUAAAAACACAGCACUGUGCAAACACGAAAGUGGACGUAUACGGUGUGACGCCUGCCCGGUGCCGGAAGGUUAAUUGAUGGGGUCAGCGCAAGCGAAGCUCCUGAUCGAAGCCCCGGUAAACGGCGGCCGUAACUAUAACGGUCCUAAGGUAGCGAAAUUCCUUGUCGGGUAAGUUCCGACCUGCACGAAUGGCGUAAUGAUGGCCAGGCUGUCUCCACCCGAGACUCAGUGAAAUUGAACUCGCUGUGAAGAUGCAGUGUACCCGCGGCAAGACGGAAAGACCCCGUGAACCUUUACUAUAGCUUGACACUGAACAUUGAGCCUUGAUGUGUAGGAUAGGUGGGAGGCUUUGAAGUGUGGACGCCAGUCUGCAUGGAGCCGACCUUGAAAUACCACCCUUUAAUGUUUGAUGUUCUAACGUGGACCCGUUACCCGGGUUGCGGACAGUGUCUGGUGGGUAGUUUGACUGGGGCGGUCUCCUCCUAAAGAGUAACGGAGGAGCACGAAGGUUGGCUAAUCCUGGUCGGACAUCAGGAGGUUAGUGCAAUGGCAUAAGCCAGCUUGACUGCGAGCGUGACGGCGCGAGCAGGUGCGAAAGCAGGUCAUAGUGAUCCGGUGGUUCUGAAUGGAAGGGCCAUCGCUCAACGGAUAAAAGGUACUCCGGGGAUAACAGGCUGAUACCGCCCAAGAGUUCAUAUCGACGGCGGUGUUUGGCACCUCGAUGUCGGCUCAUCACAUCCUGGGGCUGAAGUAGGUCCCAAGGGUAUGGCUGUUCGCCAUUUAAAGUGGUACGCGAGCUGGGUUUAGAACGUCGUGAGACAGUUCGGUCCCUAUCUGCCGUGGGCGCUGGAGAACUGAGGGGGGCUGCUCCUAGUACGAGAGGACCGGAGUGGACGCAUCACUGGUGUUCGGGUUGUCAUGCCAAUGGCACUGCCCGGUAGCUAAAUGCGGAAGAGAUAAGUGCUGAAAGCAUCUAAGCACGAAACUUGCCCCGAGAUGAGUUCUCCCUGAGACUUAAAGUCUCCUGAAGGAACGUUGAAGACGACGACGUUGAUAGGCCG
rnacentral:rRNA from 1 species